rnacentral:rRNA from 1 species
UACAGAGGUCUCAAGCGUUGUUCGGAUUCAUUGGGCGUAAAGGGUGCGUAGGCGGCGCGGUAAGUCGGGUGUGAAAUCUCGGAGCUUAACUCCGAAACUGCAUUCGAUACUGCCGUGCUUGAGGACUGGAGAGGAGACUGGAAUUUACGGUGUAGCGGUGAAAUGCGCAGAUAUCAGGAGGAACACCGGUGGCGAAGGCGGGUCUCUGGGCCGAUACUGACGCUGAGGCGCGAAAGCCAGGGGAGCGAACGGG